UACAGGUGCGGAGGCUAUCUGCUUGCUUGUGAGGCAAUGGGUCCUGCCACCACUAUUUGCGGCGAUAAAACUGGACCACUAACUUUGAAUCAGAGAAGUAGUCAUAUGUGGUCCACUAAUAGGUUGGAUUUCAAGCAAUACUGAUGAAUGCGAAGGAAGCUACAGCAGGUUGAAAUUUACUAGAGGGAACACUGGGGACUAUCGGACAGUAAAUAGAAGGUUUUUAAUGGAGGAUGACGUAUCCUUUUUUCUGGUGUUUUUAGAUGCACCAAGUCUAGUAUUCAUAAAUUGAGCUUACAGGUAAAAGAAGUGAGUUAAAACUCUCAAAUAUUCAUAAAUUGGCUUACAGGUAAAAGUGAGCUUAAAAAAUUGAGCUUACAGAUAAAAGAAGUGAGCUAAAACUCCCAAAUAUUCAUAAAUUGGCUUACAGGUAAAAGUGAGCUUAA